rnacentral:lncRNA from 1 species
ACAUUCGUAGCUCAUUUCUCACUUCCCAAAAUCCAGGCUAAAACUCUAGGAAACUCACCGAAAACCUUGCACCCACUUUUUUUUCUUUUUUUUUUCUCUUGGAAGGAUAUGGACUUCCUUCUCACACACAAGACUUCCUCAUACCCCAGAAUUUUUCUUCAAAAAAUAUUUUUCCUACACGCCCCACUCUUCUCCUCCUUUUAUAACAACGUCAAACGUCUUAUCCAAAAGAAAGGAUAAAGAUGAGUAAUUACACAUUUGAAUUCAAAUCAAAUUUGAAUUCAAAUGGACACCAACUCAUCCCUUAUCCACUAAAGGCGUAAGGCAUGGCUUAAAUUGUGCAUGGAGUGAUUUCAUGAGAAAUAUUUUUCUCAUGUAAUAAAUGGGAUGUUAAAAAAGGGAUAAGGUGCAAAGAUUGAUUGCCCAUUCAAAUUCAAACUUUAUUUUGAAUUUGAAUGGCCAACCAAUCAUCCUUAUCCAUUCAAUUGGCACAUUAAAGUGGGGCAUGGAGAGGGCUUGACGUGAGAAAAAAAUUCAUGAGAAGUUUCUUCUCAUGAAUUCAAAUGGGUGCAAUGGAAGUGAGGUGGCGCAUGGA